rnacentral:sRNA from 1 species
AAAUACUUAGCCCAGGGCCUAUCACACAGUAACCAAUAUUAAGUAUUGGCUCUUAGUUACUAUGAUAUGCUCUGUCAAGCAUAAACUGACCUGGUCUACUUCUCUAGAUGGAAGCCAAAUAAAAGAUACUAUUGUCCAUAUUUCAGGAGAGUGGUUUCCUCAGGGGAGGCAGAGAAGGAAUGGAAUCAAGAGCAUUAUGUAGACAGGUUCAGUUAUAUCCAUAAUAUAAUUUUUAUUUGUCUAAGUGGCGGAUACAAAGGUAUUUGUUAGAGUAUUUUAUCUCUUUCUGGUGCCUAAAAUUUUUCAUUAAAAAAUGCUGUAGGGGUGGUUUGGUUUGUGCAGUGAAACCAACUAUGUUAUUCACAACCUUGCGAGAGAUGUAUCAACAGCUCUGGUUCAGAGAUGAAAAAGUGAGGCCCAGAAGGCUAUUCCAUCCAGCCUUCAAAGGAAGGGCUGAAGGCUCAGUGGUGACUGUGUACAUCAAAGUGGUUAGGCACUAUGCAGUGUAAGCGGUGGUCAUAUUACAUGGGACUAUGUUUGAAAUCAAUAAGAAUGGAAGGCAGAAUUACGUUGAACUCCAUUUAAAUAAAUGACUGGGGCAAAAUAUGGAAUCUGAAUUCUUUUGGGGUGGGGAAUGAGUAUCAAAGUGUAUAUUCCAAUAAAGUAUCUGUCCAAUGUGACACUUUUCAAGUGCCUAAGACCCUACGAGGCCACAGCCAUCGCUGCCUGUUCUACCUUAGCUUUGGCUCUGCCGUGCCUUGGCUUCCCUGGCUUUGCCGGUGGCCCGUCCACACUGGCAUGUGUCCAUGCAGGUCUAGAGAGGCCUCUUAUUUCUUUUUUAUGUGAGUCUCCAUUCUAAAUGUUGUCAUCUUAAUUUUCUACCACAUAUUGUUUUUUCUUGUUUGGAUAAUAUCACCGUUGCUACCAUAAACACCUUUCACUACAAUUCAUCUUCUGCUUUAUUACACGUUGAGUUGACAGAAUGCCUUCCAGACAUUCUUUUCUACUUACCCUAUGAGCUUUUGGUCAUGUUGUACCUGAGAACUGUUGCUAACUUGCGGAUUUGGGGCAGAUUACACUGACCAGAAUCCACAUUCACUUUUUAUUCUUACAUCCUAACAGGUCAGUGUAUAUUACUUUCAGUGACUAUGAGAGUGUACAGGGACUGCCUGCCUUUCGGUAUAAAGUUCCUGCAGAAAUAUUAGCCAAUACGUCAGACAAUGCUGGCUUCUGUAUACCUGAGGGAAACUGCCUGGGCUCAGGAGUUCUGAAUGUCAGCAUCUGCAAGAAUGGUAAGAACUCAGAGAGGGGACAUGAUAGGGGUGUCAAGAAUGCAGAAGGAUUGGAUUUCAAUGAAGAAUAUGUAGCUGGGCAUAGUGGCACACACCUACAGUCCCAGCUACUAAGGAUGCUGAGGUGGGAUGAUCACUUGAGCCCAGGAGUUCUCAAGUCCAUCCUGGGCAACAUAGCGAGACCCCAUCUCUAAAAAACAAAACAAACAAAAAAGAAUAUAUUGUCAGCCCAAUAGAAAGAUCAGUUUCUUUCAAGAAUAAUGUCUCAUAACAUGGCUAUUGAAUGGUAAAAAAAACAAUUAUUGGCUUUUCUAUGAUGCUUUUUAUUUCUAGAAUGCCAUGUUGUGUUUUUGUUUUCUGGACAGUGGUUUAGAAGUCUUAACAGUAAUAAUAGCUCAUGUUUACUAAGCACCUGAUGUAUGCCAGUUGCUGUCCUAAGUGCUUUACAUAUUUACAUGUAGUUAAUGCAUGCAAAACAUUAACUGAUUUCAUGUUCAAAACAAUGCUAAGGCUGGGCACGGUGGCUCAUGCUUGUAUUCCCAGCACUUUGAGAGGCCUAGGUGUGAGGAUUGCUUGAGGCCAGGGGUUCAAGAUCAGCCUGGGCAACAUAGCAAGACCCUGUCUCUACAAAAAAAAAAAAAGUAAAAAAUUAGCUGGGUGUGGCUAUACCUGUAGUCACAGCUGCUCAGGAGGCUGAGGCAGGGAGAUUGCUUGAGCCCAGGAGUUCGAGGUUGCAGUGUGCUAUGAUUGUGCUACUGCACUCCAGCCUGGGCAAAAGAGUGAUUCCGCACCUACCCGCCAAAAAAAAAAAAAAAAAAAAAAAAAAAAGCUAAAAGAAAAAGUGGACAACUCAGUUUUAAGAAAGUACGUAUCAUGGCAAAGAUUCUCAGUGAUUUGAAAGCCGAGUUAGUUUUAAACCCUGACACAAAUGUCCCAGUGUUUCUUAAUGUCAGAGCUACUCUGCUCCUUUCCAUGAAUGAGGCAGAAUUAUCAGUGGCACAACUGACAAAACUAUUUUCUUCAUCUUGAAGAGUAGUUUUAACAGCCACAUGUUGCAGAAUUAUUCACAGCGAACUUACUAGAUAGUAGACAUUCAGUGGCCUGUUUUUAUAAUUGGGGAAACUAGGGCUCAGAGAGGGAACAUGAUUUUGAUGCGACUCCUCCCUCUGAGCAGAUCCCUGGCGGAACUCAGGGUCUUCUCAUAUUUGCCCUGUGAUUCCCUCUUGGGCUAUAAUUCCUCUUUAAAAUUUCUCUGGAGAUCUCUCUGUGUAGUCCCUUUCUCCUGAAUAAAGUAAUGUGCUCACUUUUGCUCCCUUAUCUAACUCAUUUUAAAAUCUCCUUUCAGGCCUGGCAUGGUGGCGUGUGCCUGUAGGCCCAGCUACUCAGGAGGCUAUGGUGGGAGGGUCGCUUGAGCCCAGUUUGAUUCUAGCCUGGGCAACAUAGCGAGACUCCAUCUUUU